UUGGAUCUGGAUCUGAUUUAUCAAUACAUACCACACCAGUCACCACACAUUCUCUCUCUCUCUCUCUCUCUCUCACAGCACGUGACUUGAAAGAACGAUGAAGUUGCAGAGCUUCUUGAUCUCUCUUGCGUUAUUGAUUGCGUUGAAGUCUCCUGUUCUUGCUCUAGCCUCCAGCUCCUUUGAUCCCUUUUUCCAAUGUCUCUCUCUCCACUUAAACGACUCCAAACUAGUCUCUAGAGUCAUACACACCCAAAACUCCUCUUCCUUCUCUGAAAUCUUACAUUCAUCGGUUCAAAAUCCAAUCUUUUCAUCUCCCGAAACCCCUAAACCGAUCUCCAUCGUCACUCCCCUCGAAGCUUCUCACGUUCAAGCCACCAUCAGAUGCGCAAGACGAUACAGUGUCCACAUCAGAACCCGAAGUGGAGGGCAUGACUACGAAGGCCUCUCUUACGUUGCCCCUACCGAAUUCAUCGUCAUCGACUUGGCUAAUCUCCGGUCUAUUAGCAUAGAUUCCCAUACCCAGACCGCUUGGGUCCAAGCCGGAGCUACAGCCGGGGAACUGUAUCAUGAGAUUGCGAAAAAGUCCAAGACUUUGGCCUUUCCGGCCGGUCUUUUCUCCACGGUCGGAGUUGGAGGUCAGUUUAGCGGUGGAGGGUUCGGUACUUUGCUGAGAAAAUACGGUUUAGCCGCUGAUAAUAUAGUCGACGCGCAAGUGGUUGACUCGAGGGGGAGGUUUCUUGACAGGCAAGGCAUGGGAGAGGAGUUCUUCUGGGCUAUUCGUGGAGGUGGUGGGUCAAGCUUCGGAGUUGUUCUGUCAUGGAAGAUACAGUUGGUGGAUGUUCCCUUGACCUUAACAGUGUUCAACGUCACGACAACAACAGAACAAGAAGCUGUGAAGAUCAUCCAGCGAUGGCAGAACAUUGCAGACAAGGUCACUGACGAUCUGUUCAUCCGGGUCAUGUUGCAGAAAUCGGACAAGGCAAGGGUUCGUGCAUCGUUCCCAGGGCUCUAUCUCGGUCCAGUGGACAAGCUAUUGCCCAUAAUGGACAAGGAGUUUCCAGAACUCGGUCUCGCGAGGGAAGACUGUAAGGAGAUGAGCUGGAUAGAGUCGGUUGUCUGGUUUGCAGAGUACCCAGAGGGAACAUCCAUCGACGUUCUUGCGAAACGCAAGCGUUCGUCAAAGUCUUUCAAAGGAAAAUCCGACUUCGUCGAAGAACCGGUACCUGAGCACGCAAUCCGAGAGCUAUGGAGAAGAUUACACGCACCAGAAGCCGAAAUGGCUAAGCUGAUUCUCACUCCGUUCGGUGGAAAAAUGAGCCAAAUCGCGGAGAAUGGCGGUGGAUUUGGGAUUGAAGAGACGAGAGAUGGAAACGACGGCGAUGAGGAGCAUGAGGAUGACUCCGGCGAAGGCGGCGAUUAGGGCUCCGCCGCCAUGGUCGCAAAUGGCGACGGAAAGGAGGCGGAAGCCCUUGUAAUCUAAUUUCCGGAAGAAUAUCUGAACGGUCAUCAUCAGCAAGUUGUGGAAACUCACCAUUGCAUUAGCUACUACAAAGAACCUGGAUCAAAGGUUAUGUGGUUAUAUGAUGAGAAAAACAAGGAAGAAAAGCUUACACAAAAGCCGGAGUGUGCUGAAACUUGGCAGUGACAUUGGCUUUGAUAGGAGUAGUGCCAACGGUGGCCACGACAAACGUCUUUGUCUCCUUGUUGAGUCCCAUCACAAUGGCUGCAGCUAACGUUGCCAAGAACGCAAACAGCCUCAGCACCAACAAUAUCUUCCAACUCUUCUGGUUUUCGGUUGCCAUCUUAGGUUUCUCCCCGGUCUCAGCUGGAGCAGCCAUUGUUGCAGAAUAUUGUGAUACAAAGUUACAAGAGUGCGAAUGUAUGUAACGAUGGAGGGGACAAAGAAGAUGUUUGCAUUAUAUAAAGAGUUGUGGAGAUUGUUUUUGGUCUCACUGGGGGGUGGGGAUGGGGUGGUCUGACCAUCUAACUUUGAGUUUUUGUAAGUUUUAUUUAUUUUUAGGUUAUGGUUGUUGUGAAUAAUCAGUGAAAAUGGUUAGAUCUUAUUCUUUUGUGGCAA